rnacentral:rRNA from 1 species
UACGUAGGGGGCAAGCGUUGUCCGGAAUCAUUGGGCGUAAAGCGCGUGUAGGCGGCUCGAUAAGUCUGCUGUGAAAGUUCAGGGCUCAACCCUGAAAUGCCGGUGGAAACUGUCGAGCUAGAGUCCGGAAGAGGCGAGUGGAAUUCCUGGUGUAGCGGUGAAAUGCGCAGAUAUCAGGAGGAACACCAAUGGCGAAGGCAGCUCGCUGGGACGGUACUGGCGCUGAGACGCGAAAGCGUGGGGAGCAAACAGG